UACGUAGGUGGCAAGCGUUGUCCGGAAUUAUUGGGCGUAAAGCGCGCGCAGGCGGUCUCUUAAGUCUGAUGUGAAAGCCCCCGGCUCAACCCGGGGAGGGUCAUUGGAAACUGGGAGACUUGAGUGCAGAAGAGAAGAGUGGAAUUCCACGUGUAGCGGUGAAAUGCGUAGAGAUGUGGAGGAACACCAGUGGCGAAGGCGACUCUUGGUCUGUAACUGACGCUGAGGCGCGAAAGCGUGGGGAGCAAACAGG
rnacentral:rRNA from 1 species